CCUACGGGAGGCAGCAGUGGGGAAUAUUGGGCACUGGGCGCAAGCCUGCCCCAGCAACGCCGCGUGAAGGAAGAAGGCUUUCGGGUUGUAAACUUCUUUUAAGAGGGAAGAGCAGAAGACGGUACCUCUUGAAUAAGCCACGGCUAACUACGUGCCAGCAGCCGCGGUAAUACGUAGGUGGCAAGCGUUGUCCGGAUUUACUGGGUGUAAAGGGCGUGCAGCCGGGAAGACAAGUCAGAUGUGAAAGCCCGCGGCUCAACCGCGGAACUGCAUUUGAAACUGUUUUUCUUGAGUACCGGAGAGGUCAUCGGAAUUCCUGGUGUAGCGGUGAAAGGCGUAGAUAUAAGGAAGAACACCAGUGGCGAAGGCGGAUGACUGGACGGCAACUGACGGUGAGGCGCGAAAGCGUGGGGAGCAAACAGGAUUAGAUACCCUAGUAGUC
rnacentral:rRNA from 1 species